GCAGGCGCCGACCCGGGUGGCGGCGCUGCGAGGCGGACCUCUCGCCAGGGGCUGGGAUCCUGAGUCCUGCCCGGUUGUCGUCCCAGAGCCUCUCCGUGGGCGAGCGGCAGCCUUGGUCUGGACCCCGGAGUUCCAACUCCGGGGAGCGGCGUCGGCUCUGCCUUCCGCCCGCGCUCUCCUCGGCGCCCCCUGCUGGCGGGAGGAGGGCGGCGCAGUGGGGCGCGUUUCAGGGGCUCCCGGAAUCGAAGGGGUGGGAGAGAGCCCAGGGCCCUCGACCCCCCAGCCCAGCCCUCUCUUCCAAGACCCUCGCUCCUGCAGCUCUUCAGGCUCUUGCCACGCACCGGAGCUGCACCUGGCAGGGCAGCUGAAGGCAGCAAGCACAUGGUGAAAACACAUCUCCAGCCUCCUCACCAUUGUCAAGUGUUAAUUGAGGUAGCCUGUGAGGUGCUUGGCAUGUAUUCCUGAGCACUUGGAGAGCCAAGAGAGCCAGGUUACAACUGGUCCCAGCUUCUCCUUCUGGCCUCCACCAGGGACGCUUUCUGUCGGAAGUCCGGCUGCAGGACUUGGCUCUGGUCCACCUGGCAAUCCUCAGAGUUUGGCAAAACCUGUUGACUGUUGGCACCUGUUAGUCUUUAUACACACAUGUAACUCAUGUGUCUCCCUUAAACAAAAUAUUAUAUGAAUUAUUUGGGGUUUCCUCAUUCUUCCUCCUCUCACCAGGACCCACUAAUGUGUCCCUUCCACCUACCUCACUACCUGAACAGUACCGUCGAAGGGGAAGCCCGUCUCUCCAAACAGUCCCAAGAUGUCCACUGACUUCCAGAUCAUUCCAGUAGGUCAGGGUUCCUUCCACCUGGCCACCUCUGCAGAGGAGAGUGAACAUUCCUCCUGGCUCAGGGAGGGCACUUCCUUGGAGAACCCUCUGACACUCACCAUCUUUGCAGUGGGGACCAGGUGGUUGGUUGACCCCUCAGAGCUUCUCUUCUUCACGUGUUAGAUGAUGGUGAGGCUGAGGGGUGUGAUUUGAAGAGCUUCCUUUCCAUAAUCAAGACCGGGCAGUAGAGAAUCCUGUGGCUAAGCAAUGAGGCGGAUCUGGGUCUAAACCCCAGCUCAGCCGCACAAGACCUCUGUGACCUGAGAUGAGGCAAGACAUUUGACCCUACUGAGCCUUGACCUCCUCGUCUAUGUAGCAACGGGGAUGGUACUUACCUCAGUGGGCAAAUAAGAUAAUAAUUUAAUGUUUUCAGAAUGACAUACUCAAUAAAUAUUUUUGAUCAGCAAGAAAGCAAGGGAAGGCCGGGGGCAGUGGCUCAUGCUUGUAAUUCCAGCACUUUGGGAGGCCGAGGUGGGAGGAUUGCUUGAGCACAGGAGCUCAAGACUAGCCUGGGCAACAUGGCAAGACCCCUUCUCUACAAAAAUUAGCCAGGCAUGGUGGUGAGCACCUGCGGUCUUAGCUACUCUGGGAUGCUGAGGUGGGAGGUGGGAAGAUCACCUGAGCCUGGGAGAUUGAGGCUGCAGUAAGCUGUGAUGGCACUGCUGCAUUCCAGCUUGGGCAACAGGGUAAGACCCUGUCUCAAAAAAAAAAAAAAAAAAAAGAAAGAA